AGCGAAUGCUGGCGGCAGGCCUAACACAUGCAAGUCGAACGAACUCUUCGGAGUUAGUGGCGGACGGGUGAGUAACACGUGGGAACGUGCCUUUAGGUUCGGAAUAACUCAGGGAAACUUGUGCUAAUACCGAAUGUGCCCUUCGGGGGAAAGAUUUAUCGCCUUUAGAGCGGCCCGCGUCUGAUUAGCUAGUUGGUGAGGUAACGGCUCACCAAGGCGACGAUCAGUAGCUGGUCUGAGAGGAUGGCCAGCCACACUGGGACUGAGACACGGCCCAGACUCCUACGGGAGGCAGCAGUGGGGAGUCUUGCGCAAUGGGCGAAAGCCUGACGCAGCCAUGCCGCGUGAAUGAUGAAGGUCUUAGGAUUGUAAAAUUCUUUCACCGGGGACGAUAAUGACGGUACCCGGAGAAGAAGCCCCGGCUAACUUCGUGCCAGCCGCCGCAGUAA
rnacentral:rRNA from 1 species